ensembl:lncRNA
AAUCAGCCCUCUUGUUUGGUUGUUUUUUUUUUCUUUAGACUCUUUAAGAAAAUUACUAUUUCUUGAAUUUCUUUGUUUUUUUCUUAUAUUUCUUUAAGAGAUUUUCUUGUUUCCUAUUUAAGGGUCUCGAACAUCUUCAUGAAGUAGAUUUUUAGGGCUGUCUCUUCUUCUUCCUCUGUGUUGUGCUUUCCAGAUCUUGCUGGUGUGGAGUCCCUAGAUUCUGGUGGUGACAUAUUGAUCUUUCUGUUGAGUGUGCUGUUAUUCUUCCUUCUUCCCAUCUCUUCUUCUGGUGUGAGUUUUAACUAUGCUGUGAUAAUGUUUUUCAAUGCCUAUAACUUCCAGAUGGGCAUGUAAGCUGUUUCCAUAUACUGGCUUUUUUGAAUUGAGAAGCAAAGAAAGAGGAUGAGCAGAUAUCUCUGGCAUAGAGCACAGAGUUCUUUAGAUAUUGUGUGAUGCAUCGCUUCAAGUUUUCCUCCUCUAGACAUCCUCCUCUUGACUUCACAAUGAUGGACUGUAACCCAGAUUAAAUACCACAGAAUCAUUGGUUGAAAGAAGAGUCGCUUGAUCUAUUGGUACAAAGGAGAUAAUGAAUCACUAGUGCUUUAAAGCUAUGUAGAUAUGGAUAAGUUUAGGCCUCACUCCCCCUUAAAGAAACUUCUUUUUGCAACAAAUGGAGAACGUUACAGGAAGGUACAGCCAAUCAAAAACAAACUUCUGAUGGGUACAUCUAUAAAACAACCCAGCACCUAAGGUUCAAGAAACAAUGCAGAAUCAGUUCUUGAAACAGCUGCAAGAAUCAGAGCACCAACGAGUUUGCGGUGAGACUGUUUCAGAAGCUACACCCAUAGAGUCUCACCAAUAUUACCCCCUAAAUACGAGGUGAACAAGGACAAAAAAUAUACACGCCAAAGUGGUUGGGGGAGAUCCCAUGAGGCUUCAAAUCUACAUAAGCAACUACAGGAUACUAAGAAAAGCCAAGAGUGAGAGAAAUAAUCUUCUCAGGAGAGAGCACACCCAUCACAGCCCUUAAUGCAUAUUUAUGAGGAGCAUAAUAGAAAUGGAGUCAUAUUGAGGAAUGUACAAAACAAUUAGUGAAAAAAGAGACCAUGCAUUUGAACAAAAGCAAGGAAGGGUAUAUAUCAGGUUUGAAGAGCAUAAUAGGAAGGGAGAAAGCUGUAAUUUUAUUAUAAUAUCAAACAUAAAAGAAAAAUGUAAAGAAGGUGAUGUUCUAUAGGGAAGUAAAGCAUUUCAACCAUUGGGGAAGCUUACUUAGCUUAGGAAACAAACCCAAGUAAAGUUUUAGGAAGUCCUGAAAAUCCACAGCCAGAUGCUCUAAGCUCCAUCCUCUCCAGCAUAUAUGAACUGUAAAUACUUUUAAGUGACUUUCAAAUACCUGCGAGAAGCCAGCCUUCUCAGAAGAACCAGAGACCCAUCUUUCUAGAACAGACUCAGACAACCUGGGCUGUCUGUACAGGACACUGUCCAACCAGUUUAACUGUCUGUAGGUUGUGCAGUAUGCUUCCUGUUUCCAGGUGGGCCCUCACACUUGCUGAGGUAGACUUUGUUUUUGCAUCAUUUCUGCUGCUGUAGGUAUCCUGUACUCCAUAUUCCUGCAAGUAACCCCAAUAAAACUUUUGGAAUCAAUAAGUUGGACUUUGGUGGUAUUUAUAAUCAGAACUAUUGUUGAUUCUUUCCUGGGAUGCAUAGAUGCUGUCCAUUGUUAUAUUUGCUGUCACAAAUCAUGGCAUGAAUUAAAAUUCCCUCAAGAUCAGCAGUGGAUAUAACCAUUUAUUUAUUUAUUUUAUAUGUUCAUAUAUAACAUAGACAAAAAUUUGAAACUACUGUUUUUAGCUUUAUGAAUCUAUUCAUCUUUAUAUGUUCAAUAAUUUUCCUUUUGUGACUUGAUCAAAUUACAAUUCUUUUGCUUAUUUUAUUUGAUCAUAUUUGUCUUCUUUAUUUUUCAUUACCUAACUCUUUUUAAUUUUAUUUUUAUUAUAAAGAAAAUUAUUUUACAUGUCAAUUCCAGGUCCCUCUCCAUUCCCUCUUCCCCUGCCCUGCCAACUAACACCC